rnacentral:rRNA from 1 species
GCAUAUCAUAAGCGGAGGAAAAGAAACUAACAAAGGAUUCCCCUAGUAACUGCGAAGUGAAGCGGGAAAAGCUCAAAUUUAAAAUCUGACGGUCUUUUGGUCGUCCGAGUUGUAAUCUAGAGAAGUGUUAUCCGCGUUGGACCGUGUACAAGUCUCCUGGAAUGGAGCGUCAUAGAGGGUGAGAAUCCCGUCUUUGACACGGACUACCAGUGCUUUGUGAUGCGCUCUCAAAGAGUCGAGUUGUUUGGGAAUGCAGCUCAAAAUGGGUGGUAAAUUCCAUCUAAAGCUAAAUAUUGGCGAGAGACCGAUAGCGAACAAGUACCGUGAGGGAAAGAUGAAAAAGAACUUUGGAAAAGAGAGUUAAACAGUACGUGAAAUUGCUGAAAGGGAAACGCUUGAAGUCAGUCGCGUUGUCCGGGAAUCAACCUUGCUUUUGCUGGGUGUACUUUCCGGUUGACGGGUCAGCAUCAAUUUUGACCGUUGGAUAAAGUGUAGGGGAAUGUGGCAUCUUCGGAUGUGUUAUAGCCCUUGCUCGCAUACAACGGUUGGGAUUGAGGAACUCAGUACGCCGCAAGGCCGGGAAUUUAUUCUACGUUCGUACUUAGGAUGCUGGCAUAAUGGCUUUAAUCGACCCGUCUUGAAACACGGACCAAGGAGUCUAACAUGCCUGCGAGUGUUUGGGUGGAAAACCCGAGCGCGUAAUGAAAGUGAAAGUUGAGAUCCCUGUCGUGGGGGAGCAUCGACGCCCGGACCAGACCUUUAGUGACGGAUCUGCGGUAGAGCAUGUAUGUUGGGACCCGAAAGAUGGUGAACUAUGCCUGAAUAGGGUGAAGCCAGAGGAAACUCUGGUGGAGGCUCGUAGCGAUUCUGACGUGCAAAAUCGAUCGUCAAAUUUGGGUAUAGGGGCGAAAGACUAAUCGAACCAUCUAGUAGCUGGUCUGCG